GAUGAACGCUGGCGGCGUGCCUAAUACAUGCAAGUCGAGCGAACAGACGAGGAGCUUGCUCCUCUGACGUUAGCGGCGGACGGGUGAGUAACACGUGGAUAACCUACCUAUAAGACUGGGAUAACUUCGGGAAACCGGAGCUAAUACCGGAUAAUAUAUUGAACCGCAUGGUUCAAUAGUGAAAGACGGUUUUGCUGUCACUUAUAGAUGGAUCCGCGCCGCAUUAGCUAGUUGGUAAGGUAACGGCAUACCAAGGCAACGAUGCGUAGCCGAUCUGAGAGGGUGAUCGGCCACACUGGAACUGAGACACGGUCCAGACUCCUACGGGAGGCAGCAGUAGGGAAUCUUCCGCAAUGGGCGAAGGCCUGACGGAGCAACGCGGCGUGAUUGAUGAAGGUCUUCGGAACGUAGAUCUCUGUUAUUAGGGAAGUACAAAUGUGUAAGUAACUGUGCACGUCUUGACGGUACCUAAUCAUAAAGCCACGGCUAACUACGUG
rnacentral:rRNA from 1 species